ACGUGACCAUUGCCCCUCCUAUAAUAGGCGUGUCUGCUUUCAAGAAACCAAGAUGGCGUCGAAAAUUGUCAGCAAGUUAAUCCAGUUUAAAGAGGUUUAAUGAUGUGUGGAAAAUCUGUAACACUCAUUUUGACAGUAUACACCAACACCGAGACAGACUCAGACAAUCAAACUGAGAGUGUCAGUGUUAUUUAUUAAUUUAUUUAUUUAAACUUCACACUGAACUAUGGUGACAGAGUAAAAAGACAAGAAGAGUAGGAAAAUAGCUAAGUUGAAGGUACUACCGCAUAGCGGAGGACCAGAGAUACAGAGUAAAGGAAAUGAUAAGAGUGUAAAGAAAAAUAGGAAUUAGUUAGAAUAACAUUUAUCACAAGGGCAUUUGAAAUGAAAAGAACAGUGCAGAGAGGAGUCAAAAUUAAUGAUAAAAUGAUUCAAAAAAUAUAUUAAAAAUAGAUAAUUUUAGAGAGAGGAAGGAAAGGGAAAGAUCAACAGAAGGGAGUGAGUUCCAUAACACAGGGAGACGAUUGAAGUAAAAGAAUCUUGCCUUGUUUGAUGUAGUAAAUCAGUGUUGAAGCUUACAGGAAGUGACUGAUCAGUACAGUUUUGUGUAACAGAAGCAUUGUGUGUCCUAACAACAUGAUGUGCCGUUACCUACUCAUAAUCAAGAAACAGUUUGUUCCAAGGACAUUAAUGUAUUUAAGAAAAAGAUGUGUUGAGACUUGAGAUUAUGCAGUAAUGCAAUGUGUCACCAUUUUCUCAAUGCACAAGUUUAGGAGAUACUGACACUAUCAAUGAGUCUUGCAUUCAAACUUGUCAUUCAGAAUCUGAAGAUCUGGGCAUGAACAUUUAUAAUUUUAUAUUAUGCAUUGUUGUGUAUUAUUAUAUUUGUUUUUUGUUACUAAAAUUG
rnacentral:lncRNA from 1 species